rnacentral:lncRNA from 1 species
UCGUCGCUCUCACAGCGACCAACUCGCUCUGCAGGUCAUUAACCUGCCUUUGAAGUUCUCGCACCGUGUCGCAUAAAAUAGCAAUGUCCAAAAACGGAUCAUUCAUAUCUAGAACACGCAUGAAUUGACAAAUAUGAAGAAAAAAUUCCAAAAUGUAAUACAACGUAUACGACCAAGUAAAUUUACACAAGAAAAAAACUUACCUCAACGAGAAAAGAAUAUGCUUUUUGAAGAGAA